rnacentral:SRP_RNA from 2 species
GCCAGGUGUGGUGGCGGGCGCCUGUAGUCCCAGCUACUUGGGAGGCUGAGGCAGAAGAAUCGUUUGAACCCGGGAGGCAGAGGUUGCAGUGAGCCAAGAUUGUGCCACUGCACUCCCACCUGGGUGACGGAGCGAGACUCCGCCUCAA